UGCGUAGGCGGUCGAGUAAGUCAGAUGUGAAAUCUAUGGGCUCAACCCAUAAACUGCAUUUGAGACUACCCGGCUUGAGUGAAGUAGAGGCAGGCGGAAUUCCCUGUGUAGCGGUGAAAUGCGUAGAGAUAGGGAGGAACACCAGUGGCGAAGGCGGCCUGCUGGGCUUUAACUGACGCUGAGGCACGAAAGCGUGGGUAGCAAACA
rnacentral:rRNA from 1 species